rnacentral:rRNA from 1 species
GACGUAGGGCGCGAGCGUUGUCCGGAUUUAUUGGGCGUAAAGAGCUCGUAGGCGGUUUGUCGCGUCGGCUGUGAAAUCCCGCGGCUCAACCGCGGGUCUGCAGUCGAUACGGGCAGGCUAGAGUUCGGUAGGGGAGACUGGAAUUCCUGGUGUAGCGGUGAAAUGCGCAGAUAUCAGGAGGAACACCGAUGGCGAAGGCAGGUCUCUGGGCCGAUACUGACGCUGAGGAGCGAAAGCGUGGGGAGCGAACAGG